AGGUAAGCUACUAAGAGCGAAUGGUGGAUGCCUUGACUGGUAAAGGCGAUGAAGGACGUACUAGACUGCGAUAAGCUACGGGGAGCUGUCAAGAAGCUUUGAUCCGUAGAUUUCCGAAUGGGGCAACCCAAUGUAUAGAGAUAUACAUUACCUAUAUAGGAGCGAACGAGGGGAAUUGAAACAUCUUAGUACCCUCAGGAAAAGAAAUCAAUAGAGAUUGCGUCAGUAGCGGCGAGCGAAAGCGCAAGAGGGCAAACCCAGUGCUUGCACUGGGGGUUGUAGGACUGCAAUGUGCAAGAGGUAAGUUUAGCAGAACAUUCUGGAAAGUAUAACCAUAGAGGGUGAUAGUCCCGUAUGCGAAAAACAAACCUUAGCUAGCAGUAUCCUGAGUAGGGCGGGACACGAGGAAUCCUGUCUGAAUCCGGGUCGACCACGAUCCAACCCUAAAUACUAAUACCAGAUCGAUAGUGCACAAGUACCGUGAGGGAAAGGUGAAAAGAACUGAGGUGAUCAGAGUGAAAUAGAACCUGAAACCAUUUGCUUACAAUCAUUCAGAGCCCUAUGUAGCAAUACAGGGUGAUGGACUGCCUUUUGCAUAAUGAGCCUGCGAGUUGUGGUGUCUGGCAAGGUUAAGCAAACGCGAAGCCGUAGCGAAAGCGAGUCUGAAUAGGGCGCUUAGUCAGAUGCUGCAGACCCGAAACGAAGUGAUCUAUCCAUGAGCAAGUUGAAGCUAGUGUAAGAACUAGUGGAGGACUGAACCCAUAGGCGUUGAAAAGCCCCGGGAUGACUUGUGGAUAGGGGUGAAAGGCCAAUCAAACUUCGUGAUAGCUGGUUCUCUCCGAAAUAUAUUUAGGUAUAGCGUUGUGUCGUAAUAUAAGGGGGUAGAGCACUGAAUGGGCUAGGGCAUACACCAAUGUACCAAACCCUAUCAAACUCCGAAUACCUUAUAUGUAAUCACAGCAGUCAGGCGGCGAGUGAUAAAAUCCGUCGUCAAGAGGGAAACAACCCAGACUACCAGCUAAGGUCCCUAAAUCUUACUUAAGUGGAAAACGAUGUGAAGUUACUUAAACAACCAGGAGGUUGGCUUAGAAGCAGCCAUCCUUUAAAGAAAGCGUAAUAGCUCACUGGUCUAGUGAUUUUGCGCGGAAAAUAUAACGGGGCUAAAGUAAGUACCGAAGCUGUAGACUUGCACACAACUUAGAUUAUUUAAGUUUAGAAUAUGAGAAACUAAGUUAUAUGUUUAGUUAUAUUUUUACUGAUUUUUAUAGAGUAAAGAUAGAAAUAAAACUUAGUAAAAUCAGUAAAAAUAUUCUUAGACUAAAGUUAAGUAGUUUAAGUUGUGUGCAAGUGGUAGGAGAGCGUUCUAUUUGCGUCGAAGGUAUACCGGUAAGGAGUGCUGGAGCGAAUAGAAGUGAGCAUGCAGGCAUGAGUAGCGAUAAUUAAUGUGAGAAUCAUUAACGCCGUAAACCCAAGGUUUCCUACGCGAUGCUCGUCAUCGUAGGGUUAGUCGGGUCCUAAGUCGAGUCCGAAAGGGGUAGACGAUGGCAAAUUGGUUAAUAUUCCAAUACCAACAUUAGUGUGCGAUGGAAGGACGCUUAGGGCUAAGGGGGCUAGCGGAUGGAAGUGCUAGUCUAAGGUCGUAGGAGGUUAUACAGGCAAAUCCGUAUAACAAUACUCCGAGAACUGAAAGGCUUUUUGAAGUCUUCGGAUGGAUAGAAGAACCCCUGAUGCCGUCGAGCCAAGAAAAGUUUCUAAGUUUAGCUAAUGUUGCCCGUACCGUAAACCGACACAGGUGGGUGGGAUGAGUAUUCUAAGGCGCGUGGAAGAACUCUCUUUAAGGAACUCUGCAAAAUAGCACCGUAUCUUCGGUAUAAGGUGUGGUUCGCUUCGUAUUAGGAUUUACUCCGAAAGCGAAGAAACUUACAACAAAGAGUCCCUCCCGACUGUUUACCAAAAACACAGCACUCUGCUAACUCGUAAGAGGAUGUAUAGGGUGUGACGCCUGCCCGGUGCUCGAAGGUUAAUUGAUGGGGUUAGCAUUAGCGAAGCUCUUGAUCGAAGCCCGAGUAAACGGCGGCCGUAACUAUAACGGUCCUAAGGUAGCGAAAUUCCUUGUCGGUUAAAUACCGACCUGCAUGAAUGGCGUAACGAGAUGGGAGCUGUCUCAAAGAGGGAUCCAGUGAAAUUGUAGUGGAGGUGAAAAUUCCUCCUACCCGCGGCAAGACGGAGAGACCCCGUGGACCUUUACUACAGCUUGACACUGCUAUUUGGAUAAGAAUGUGCAGGAUAGGUGGGAGGCUUUGAGUAUAUGACGCCAGUUGUAUAUGAGCCAUUGUUGAGAUACCACUCUUUCUUAUUUGGGUAGCUAACCAGCUUGAGUUAUCCUCAAGUGGGACAAUGUCUGGUGGGUAGUUUGACUGGGGCGGUCGCCUCCCAAAUAAUAACGGAGGCUUACAAAGGUUGGCUCAGAACGGUUGGAAAUCGUUCGUAGAGUAUAAAGGUAUAAGCCAGCUUAACUGCAAGACAUACAAGUCAAGCAGAGACGAAAGUCGGUCUUAGUGAUCCGGUGGUUCUGUGUGGAAGGGCCAUCGCUCAAAGGAUAAAAGGUACCCCGGGGAUAACAGGCUGAUCUCCCCCAAGAGCUCACAUCGACGGGGAGGUUUGGCACCUCGAUGUCGGCUCAUCGCAUCCUGGGGCUGGAGCAGGUCCCAAGGGUAUGGCUGUUCGCCAUUUAAAGCGGUACGCGAGCUGGGUUCAGAACGUCGUGAGACAGUUCGGUCCCUAUCUGCCGUGGGCGUAAGAAGAUUGAAGAGAUUUGACCCUAGUACGAGAGGACCGGGUUGAACAAACCACUGGUGUAGCUGUUGUUCUGCCAAGAGCAUCGCAGCGUAGCUAAGUUUGGAAAGGAUAAACGCUGAAAGCAUCUAAGCGUGAAGCCAACUCUAAGAUGAAUCUUCUCUAAGCUCUCUAGAAGACUACUAGUUUGAUAGGCUGGGUGUGUAAUGGAUGAAAGUCCUUUAGCUGACCAGUACUAAUAGAGCGUUUGGCUUAUCUUU
rnacentral:rRNA from 1 species